AUUCUUUAGUCCCCGGGUUGGUGAAAUUUUAGCCUUUUAGAAGUCGUCUUUCUUUUUAUACAAAUGUGUUGUAUUGUUUACCUCUCCUGUCACCAUGUAGUACUAUAUUUGCUAGAAAAAUUGAGCGGACUCUUUACUUUCGAUGCCGUACCUGUCGGAUUCUCCGAAAAUGCACUACUUUUGGAGAAUUCGACACACACCCGCUGAUAUUUUUAAAGAGUCCGAGCAACAUAGUUUGCCAGUGC
rnacentral:lncRNA from 1 species